GGAUGUGUAUUUGAGAAAACUGGUCUGGAAAUCUAGAUAUGUGGGUUCUAUUCCCAUCUCUGCCA
rnacentral:tRNA from 1 species